AUUUAAAGGAACACUAUAGUCACCUAAAUUACUUUAGCUAAAUAAAGCAGUUUUAGUGUAUAGAUCAUUCCCCUGCAAUUUCACUGCUCAAUUCGCUGUCAUUUAGGAGUUAAAUCACUUUGUUUCUGUUUAUGCAGCCCUAGACACACCUCCCCUGGCUAUGAUUGACAGAGCCUGCAUGAAAAAAAAACUGGUUUCACUUUCAAAC